CGGGAGAUUCAGACCCGACCGCGUGUAAGACCACGGGCGGUUGCCACCGGAUGCUCCCGGCUGCCGACCGCGCCCUUGCGGCACGAGCCGGUGCGAGUCGGAGCCAUCAGUCGCCCGUGGAUUUCAGGCCGUGGCGGGGUGCACUUCUGGCCCCAAGCUGGACGUCGCGACCCGUUGGAGGAAUCCUAUGGACGCAGCGGCAUAAGGCCCGGGACUGAGACCGUGGGCACUUCCGCUGAGGCGCGGGCAGAAGGUGCCCUCGAACCCCGGUCGCCCUCCGACGGUCUUUGUUAGGGAGAAUAAAGGCCGGCUACCUCAGCGCCUGGCGCUAGGAGAGAGCGUCCGACCCGUUCGGCAAGAACUUCGGGGAAGCGAUUCCGGUUGUCGCGUGGCUUUCGUCACGCCCCCGGCCCCMUAGACAAAUAGACCCCGUAAACACUACGACAAUCAAACCGCGGCCACUCCAGUCGGUGGCGCUCUAGCUCCAGUUGCUCUCCCGGCCCGUCUUGAAA
rnacentral:rRNA from 1 species